AUUAAAGUAAAUAAUGUAGAAUACUAUAAUUUAAUUUUAAUAAAGAAAUUUAUUAAAUUUAUAUAACAAAUUAUAAUUUGAAAACGUUUUCGGUUUCGCAGUCAGAAGUCCAGAAUAUUUUAUCUAUUUUUAGUAUACUCGGGUUGAAGGAAAGGGAAACUAAAAGUCAACAUCACAUUCCUCUUAAUGACUGUUGAACCCUUUGAUAUAGAAUUUGAUGAAAAUUUACAAGUGAAAUAUAGGGUAGUGGAUGAUGAGCGGAAUUUUUAAUCUACUUAUAACUGUUUCAAAAUGGCUCUCCCGUAAGUUAUGUAAAAGAAUGAAGUUUUGGAAGGAUUUCUGAUUAUCUAGCAUUGGCCUAUACGGUUGGGUGAGAAUAGACUAAUCGAAAACUAUCAAAAUUUCUAAUAUAUAAUAAUUAAAAACUAUUAUAUUAUGUUUGCAGAAAUUAAUGCUAAAUAAUUUCCAAGAUUCUUGGAUUAUGGUCAAAUAGCACUAGGAUAUACGAUGGUGGUACUUUAUAGCCCAUGGGCUAUCAGCAAACUUGGUUAUAAGGAUGGCUCUAUAGUGAAAGGAUGGAAUUUUUUUAUGUGACUUUCCAUCCGAUGAAUAAUAAACAGCAAAGCAUUCUGGUACCGAUCUGUGAUGGAAUCAAUCGUCAGAUGGAAGAUAGGAUUCAACCAGUUGGGAUAGGAUCCCUUCUGAGAAAAUCCUGGGAGUAUGAGGCCGGGAAAUGAAGUGUAUUAGCACAGUCAGCUUCCAUUAAGGUUUUCCGGCUGACAGAAAAAUUUGGAAGUGUAAGACACAGAGCCUUCCGGGUGGAAGUUUAGCAGGCUUCUACAUCUUCAUUCAAUCUUUAUAAAUAAUUUAAAAACAUUCGUUUAUUUUAACAGUAUUUUAUAUUAUGAGAUAGCGAGCCUACUCAUAGGUUUACUUAAUCCUUUGAAGAAUGAAGGAGGAAGUGCGUCUAUAGUUUGUUAAUUUUGGAUUAAGCCGCCAAAUCACACAAUACAUACUUGGGCGGCCACUACUUGUAGCGCCCAUUAUAGGCAUGCCAUUACUGAUAAUGGGGUCGACCGGAAAGUUGAAGGAUGAAAUUCAACGAGCCGGAAUUCGGACCUCUUCUAAAUAUCGAUGUAUGGAGACUAGAAUUGAAUUUGGAUCUUCCAAGCGACUACUUUACCAUUUCAGUUUUAUUAUGUCGUACCAAAAGAGGUAUGGCCGACCAUUAGCGAAAAAAGAAGGCAUCCUUUUUACUCGUUUCUAACUACAUUCGAAUCAAAUGAUAGGUGAAUUCUACCUAUAGAGGAAUUAUUUUGUCGUCUGUCUGAUGGCACCUGUUAUGCUUGGUCCAGCUCUCCGAAGAAUCCGUGUUUAAUUAUGGAUUCUAUACACAAUUUUUUUCAAGCUAGAUCCGAGUUCGACCUCCGACCCUAGUGAUUCAUUCUUUAUCCGACGUCCAGAAUCACCAGGGCUGUAAAUGAGCCGUGGUGGAGAUGGAACAUUCUACCGACAACCACAUAAAACUAGAAAGAAAACAAUGCUUUCGUAUAAUUGAGACAAACAAAUAAUUGUUUCCUAAAAUUUUAUUUGGAAAAAAGUUUUAAGUUAUGUCUGAAAACUGAAUUUUUGAUGCUAACAUUUAAACAUAUAUAUAUAUAUAUAGAAUCCAGGCAUUAGAACCAAGUACUAAAA
rnacentral:lncRNA from 1 species